rnacentral:misc_RNA from 1 species
AACGUAUCUUACGCUCUCUGGUAUUCCGGGGAGCAUGCUUGUUUGAGUAUCUUAAGAGUGCCUUGCGGACAACUGCUUUUGGCGUCUAAUGGGGCCAGGGUGUUUGUUCGGAGCUGGGCUCUCCAGUCUUCACUAUGCAUUGUGGACUGGUGGUCUAAAAUGCAACGCUUGAGCGGUCCCUCUCUGACGCUUGGCUGAACGCGUAUCUUUUAGUUUGCCCAUUGGGCAAUUGAAAUUUCACGCAAACAGGUCAUUGCGAAGGCGUGGGUGUUAGCAGCUCAAUAAUGUAUAAUUGCUUUGUGUCUAGAUCUCAAACAAGUAGGACUACGCGCUGAACUUAA